rnacentral:rRNA from 1 species
AACGAACGCUGGCGGCAUGCCUAACACAUGCAAGUCGAACGAGACCUUCGGGUCUAGUGGCGCACGGGUGCGUAACGCGUGGGAACCUGCCCUUAGGUUCGGAAUAACUCCCCGAAAGGGGUGCUAAUACCGGAUAAUGUCUUCGGACCAAAGAUUUAUUGCCUUUGGAUGGGCCCGCGUUGGAUUAGGUAGUUGGUAGGGUAAAAGCCUACCAAGGCGACGAUGCAUAGCUGGUCUGAGAGGAUGAUCAGCCACACUGGGACUGAGACACGGCCCAGACUCCUACGCGAGGCAGCAGUGGGGAAUAUUGUACAAUGGGCGAAAGCCUGAUCCAGCAAUGCCGCGUGAGUGAUGAAGGCCUUAGUGUUGUAAAGCUCUUUUACCCGGGAUGAUAAUGACAGUACCGGGAGAAUAAGCACCGGCUAACUCCGUG